CCUACGGGAGGCAGCAGUGGGGAAUAUUGGGCAAUGGGCGCAAGCCUGACCCAGCAACGCCGCGUGAAGGAAGAAGGCUUUCGGGUUGUAAACUUCUUUUAUUGAGGACGAAACAAAUGACGGUACUCAAUGAAUAAGCCACGGCUAACUACGUGCCAGCAGCCGCGGUAAUACGUAGGUGGCAAGCGUUAUCCGGAUUUACUGGGUGUAAAGGGCGUGUAGGCGGGACUGCAAGUCAGAUGUGAAAACCAUGGGCUCAACCCAUGGCCUGCAUUUGAAACUGCAUGGCUGGAGUGCGGGAGGGGCAGGCGGAAUUCCUGGUGUAGCGGUGAAAUGCGUAGAUAUCAGGAGGAACACCGGCGGCGAAGGCGGCCUGCUGGACCGCGACUGACGUUGAGGCUCGAAAGCGUGGGGAGCGAACAGGAUUAGAUACCCCAGUAGUC
rnacentral:rRNA from 1 species